UUUUCCUGCCACCGAAUACAUUAGCAUGGGAUAAUGGAAUAGGACCCUGACCUCCUAUUUUCAGUUGGUUUUGUUUACAGCGAGGUUAUAUCAGGGUAAUGAUUAAUAGGGAUAGUUGGGGGCAUUAAUAUUUAAUUGUCAGAGGUGAAAUUCUUGGAUUUAUGAAAGAUUAACUUCUGCGAAAGCGUUUGCCAAGGAUGUUUUCAUUAAUCAAGAACGAAAGUUAGGGGAUCGAAGACGAUCAGAUACCGUCGUAGUCUUAACCAUAAACGAUGCCGACCAGCGAUUAGGAGACGUUGAAUACAAAACACCGCUGUUAAUCCUUUCGGGGGUUAAUAGUUGGUGAAUGACUCCCCUAG
rnacentral:rRNA from 1 species